ensembl:snRNA U2 U2 spliceosomal RNA
GAUGCUUCUUAGCCUUUUGGCUAACAUCAAUUGUAGUAUCUGUUCUUGUCAAUUUAAUAUCUGUAAAUACCAAGCUCUCUCAAGAAGAGGUUUGGAAAUGCUUAGGCCAGCACAGUGACAGAUCACAAUAUAUGUGAUAAAAUCACAAUCUGCCAAUGUGCAUUAAUUAUAAUGUUUAUUGUUGAGAAUGCACUGAGGAUGUAUCCCAU